GCUUAGAGUAUUAAGCCAGAAAGGAGUCGCCUUUACGCGCGUCCCCCUCUGUCAAAGUACGAACCCGCUGGACAUACGCGUUAUAUAAAACUGUUUCUCGACCCUUCCGCGCCAUUCCGGUAUGACGCUUGUUAGUGUAAAGAGCUCCGACAAAAAUGACUGGAUGCAGUGUAUUCGGCUGUAAAAAAAGGUCUGACACAUCGAGUGUACAAAAAGACAACGUGACAUUUCAUCUAUUUCCAAAAGACCCUAUCCGUCGACAACAAUGGAUAAAAGCUUGUGAAAAUCACAGAACAUGGCUACCCAAACGUACAAGUAAAGUUUGCUCCGAUCAUUUUGAUACGUCAUGUUUCUUGUUGCUGGCUAACAACAAAAGAAAAUUAAAGGAAUCAGCAACACCUACUUUGAAAUUACCAAAUGCUGACUUCGAAAAACCAACCGAUUGCCAACCAGCAAAAAAAUGAGAUUUGAGACUGAAACCUCGGCUAGUUCACCACCCCACUCAUCAACUUUUCGCUCUGAGUUAUCAACAAAUCAUGUUUCACCUACUACAAGUACUAAUGUUUCUUGUUAUAAAUUGGACCAAGAAACACCAAGAAUACGUAAAUUAAGAAGAAUAAUAGUUCAAAAAAACAAACAAAUUAAAAGACUUCAGUCGAAAACACGAUAUUUAAAAAAGAAAGUUGCUAGUUUAAAAGAAAUACUUGAUGAGUUAACCAAAAAAUCUUUAAUAGAUAAAGAAAAUAGAAGAAUUUUGGAAGCCAUAGGCGUGGAAGAGACCGAACUAAUAAAAAGGCAAAUUAUAAUAAGCAAAACUGGAAAAUUACCCAGAGUUAAGUAUUCUCCUGAAUUAAGAUGUUUUGCACUUACAUUAAAUUAUUAUUCACCUAAAGCCUACCGUUAUGUAAGAAAAACAUUCGGAACCUGUUUACCAGCGCCGCGUACAUUGUCAAAAUGGUACAGUACUAUUAACGGUCGUCCAGGCUUCACAAAAGAGGCACUAAAUGCACUGAGAUUGAGAGUUGACAGUAAUACUGGCAAAAUCUAUUGCUCUUUGAUAAUGGAUGAAAUGAAAAUAAAAGAAUUUACCGAAUACAAUUCUAGUACCCAAAGGCAUU